UACGUAGGGGGCAAGCGUUGUCCGGAUUUAUUGGGCGUAAAGAGCGUGUAGGCGGCCCGGUCAGUCCGCCGUGAAAGUCCAGGGCUCAACCCUGGAAUGCCGGUGGAUACUGCCGGGCUGGAGUCCGGAAGAGGCGAGUGGAAUUCCUGGUGUAGCGGUGAAAUGCGCAGAUAUCAGGAGGAACACCAAUGGCGAAGGCAGCUCGCUGGGACGGUACUGACGCUGAGACGCGAAAGCGUGGGGAGCAAACAGG
rnacentral:rRNA from 1 species